rnacentral:tRNA from 1 species
AGGGGAAUAGUUGCAAUGGUAGAACGCUGGUUUCCAAAACCAGAUGUUAGGGGUUCGAAUCCCUUUUCUCCUG